GGCGAAAUAGCUCAGUUGGCUAGAGCAACCGGUUCAUACCCGGUUUGUCGUUGGUUCAAAUCCGACUUUCGCUACCA
rnacentral:tRNA from 1 species